GUGCUUUGGCAGCACAUAUACUAAAACUGGAAUGAUAAAGAGAAUAUUAGCAUGGCUCCUGCCCAAGGAUGACACACAAAUUCAUGAAGUGUUCCAUAUUUUU
ensembl:snRNA U6 U6 spliceosomal RNA